rnacentral:rRNA from 1 species
UACGAAGGUGGCAAGCGUUGUUCGGAUUUACUGGGCGUACAGGGAGCGUAGGCGGUUGGAUAAGCCCUCCGUGAAAUCUCCAGGCUUAACCUGGAAAGUGCAGAGGGGACUGUUCAGCUAGAGGAUGGGAGAGGAGCGCGGAAUUCCCGGUGUAGCGGUGAAAUGCGUAGAGAGUCGGGAGGAAGGCCGGUGGCGAAGGCGGCGCUCUGGAACAUUUCUGACGGCUGAGGCUCGAAAGCGUGGGGAGCCGAACAGG